UCUGCUGAUCUUGCAGCGCCCAGAAAUGGACCGAGCGGACCCGCCGCCGCACGCACCCUGCCCCACUCGGAGCUCCUGACGGCUCCACGCGCACCGCGGAGCCUCAGCGAGGUCCACGCUGGGGUGCGGGAAGCGGAGGGGAUCCGAGAGCCAUGUAGAUCCAAGCUCUUGCUCGCCCGCCUCCUUCAGGAUCGAAUCAAGGGCUCCCAUAAGUGUUAGGAGGGGGCGAGAGUGCUGUUUAUCGUCAUUUGCUUCCGAGCCUCGGGAGAGGGUGGCAUUUUGCUUUUCCGCCCCGCAUCCUCCGGAACUCCCUGCACCAGCGAGAGGACGGCGUCUCUAGGUUGUUGGCAACCGGUGAGAAUGGGGGUAGGGAACGGACAUUUCCGCCGUAGCGGCUCACUCAGUCGAUUGUCCCACUGAAGGGGCGUAGGACGAGGGGGCGAGGGCGGCGACUUUGCCAAGCGCCUCUCGGAUGCUGCCGCGGCGCCGGUCGCCGCUCCCGCCGGGUACUGCAAAGGCGACCUGCCGCAUUCCGACUCGGGCUCUCCGCCGACUCAGCACCGCCCCUGCGCCAAGCCGGCCGGCCAGACAAGACGACCUGGAAAUCUGCGUGCUCAUUAAGAUUACAUGGCUACAGGCUACAGCACCUUUGGAGAGUCCUUCUGUUAACACUCUCAGUAGCUUCUCCCCAUCUCCCUGUGCUCACAGGCAUCUUCCUGCAGACAGGUCUUCUUCAUAUUACAAAAGAAGCCAGAGCACAUCACCUUUCUGCAUGUCUGCCAUGUUCUUCAAACAGUGGGCUGGCGCCAGAUAUGUGUCACAUGGUCAAGAGCUUCCUACCACCCUUGGGCAGGGGACUGUGGGAGAUUCUCAGAGCCAUCUGCCUUGA
rnacentral:lncRNA from 1 species